rnacentral:rRNA from 1 species
UACGUAGGGCGCAAGCGUUGUCCGGAAUUAUUGGGCGUAAAGAGCUCGUAGGCGGCUUGUCGCGUCGAAUGUGAAAACCCACGGCUCAACUGUGGGCUUGCAUUCGAUACGGGCAGGCUAGAGUUCGGUAGGGGAGACUGGAAUUCCUGGUGUAGCGGUGAAAUGCGCAGAUAUCAGGAGGAACACCGGUGGCGAAGGCGGGUCUCUGGGCCGAUACUGACGCUGAGGAGCGAAAGCGUGGGGAGCGAACAGG